rnacentral:rRNA from 1 species
GGGGCCUACGGGACGCAGCAGUGAGGAAUAUUGGUCAAUGGGCGCGAGCCUGAACCAGCCAAGUAGCGUGAAGGAUGACUGCCCUACGGGUUGUAAACUUCUUUUAUAAAGGAAUAAAGUGAGGCACGUGUGCCUUUUUGUAUGUACUUUAUGAAUAAGGAUCGGCUAACUCCGUGCCAGCAGCCGCGGUAAUACGGAGGAUCCGAGCGUUAUCCGGAUUUAUUGGGUUUAAAGGGAGCGUAGAUGGGUUGUUAAGUCAGUUGUGAAAGUUGGCGGCUCAACGGCAAAAUUGCA